UCGGGAAUUUUGCGCAAUGGACGAAAGUCUGACGCAGCAACGCCGCGUGAGGGAUGACGGCCUUCGGGUUGUAAACCUCUUUUGUCAGGGACGAUAAUGACGGUACCUGACGAAUAAGCCACGGCUAACUACGUGCCAGCAGCCGCGGUAAUACGUAGGUGGCAAGCGUUGUCCGGAUUUACUGGGCGUAAAGAGCGCGCAGGCGGUCGUUCAAGUCGCGUGUGAAAGCCCCCGGCUCAACUGGGGAGGGUCACGCGAUACUGAUCGACUCGAAGGCAGGAGAGGGUAGUGGAAUUCCCGGUGUAGUGGUGAAAUGCGUAGAUAUCGGGAGGAACACCAGUGGCGAAGGCGACUACCUGGCCUGUUUCUUGACGCUGAGGCGCGAAAGCUAGGGGAGCAAACG
rnacentral:rRNA from 1 species